rnacentral:rRNA from 1 species
UGCAGUCGACGAUGAACCACUUCGGUGGGGAUUAGUGGCGAACGGGUGAGUAACACGUGGGCAAUCUGCCCUUCACUCUGGGACAAGCCCUGGAAACGGGGUCUAAUACCGGAUGAUACUUCUGCUCGCAUGGGUGGGGGUUGAAAGCUCCGGCGGUGAAGGAUGAGCCCGCGGCCUAUCAGCUUGUUGGUGAGGUAGUGGCUCACCAAGGCGACGACGGGUAGCCGGCCUGAGAGGGCGACCGGCCACACUGGGACUGAGACACGGCCCAGACUCCUACGGGAGGCAGCAGUGGGGAAUAUUGCACAAUGGGCGAAAGCCUGAUGCAGCGACGCCGCGUGAGGGAUGACGGCCUUCGGGUUGUAAACCUCUUUCAGCAGGGAAGAAGCGAAAGUGACGGUACCUGCAGAAGAAGCGCCGGCUAACUACGUGCCAGCAGCCGCGGUAAUACGUAGGGCGCAAGCGUUGUCCGGAAUUAUUGGGCGUAAAGAGCUCGUAGGCGGUCUGUCGCGUCGGAUGUGAAAGCCCGGGGCUUAACCCCGGGUCUGCAUUCGAUACGGGCAGACUAGAGUGUGGUAGGGGAGAUCGGAAUUCCUGGUGUAGCGGUGAAAUGCGCAGAUAUCAGGAGGAACACCGGUGGCGAAGGCGGAUCUCUGGGCCAUUACUGACGCUGAGGAGCGAAAGCGUGGGGAGCGAACAGGAUUAGAUACCCUGGUAGUCCACGCCGUAAACGGGGGAAACUAGGUGUUGGCGACAUUCCACGGUCGUCGGUGCCGCAGCUAACG